rnacentral:rRNA from 1 species
CGCGUAGGCGGAUCAGAAAGUUGGGGGUGAAAUCCCGGGGCUCAACCUCGGAACUGCCUCCAAAACUCCUGGUCUUGAGUUCGAGAGAGGUGAGUGGAACUCCGAGUGUAGAGGUGAAAUUCGUAGAUAUUCGGAAGAACACCAGUGGCGAAGGCGGCUCACUGGCUCGAUACUGACGCUGAGGUGCGAAAGUGUGGGGAGCAAACA